rnacentral:rRNA from 1 species
CACCGCGGUUAUACGAGAGGCUCAAAUUGACAUUCUACGGCGUAAAGCGUGAUUAGAGAAAACAAAAACUAAAGCCGAACAUCUCCUUAACUGUUAUACGUUCAAAGAGACAUGAAGCCCCACAACGAAAGUAGCUUUAACCCAAAAUCUUGAACUCACGAAAAUUAAGAAA